rnacentral:rRNA from 1 species
GUGAACGCUGGCGGUAGGCCUAACACAUGCAAGUCGAACGGCAGCACAGUAAGAGCUUGCUCUUACGGGUGGCGAGUGGCGGACGGGUGAGGAAUACAUCGGAAUCUACUUUUUCGUGGGGGAUAACGUAGGGAAACUUACGCUAAUACCGCAUACGACCUACGGGUGAAAGCAGGGGAUCUUCGGACCUUGCGCGAUUGAAUGAGCCGAUGUCGGAUUAGCUAGUUGGCGGGGUAAAGGCCCACCAAGGCGACGAUCCGUAGCUGGUCUGAGAGGAUGAUCAGACACACUGGAACUGAGACACGGUCCAGACUCCUACGGGAGGAAGCAGUGGGGAAUAUUGGACAAUGGGCGCAAGCCUGAUCCAGCAAUACCGCGUGGGUGAAGAAGGCCUUCGGGUUGUAAAGCCCUUUUGUUGGGAAAGAAAAGCAGCAGGUUAAUACCCCGCUGUUCUGACGGUACCCAAAGAAUAAGCACCGGCUAACUUCGUG